rnacentral:rRNA from 1 species
AGAGUUUGAUCAUGGCUCAGAUUGAACGCUGGCGGCAUGCCUUACACAUGCAAGUCGAACGGUAACGCGGGGCAACCUGGCGACGAGUGGCGAACGGGUGAGUAAUGCAUCAGAACGUGCCCAGUAGUGGGGGAUAGCCCGGCGAAAGCCGGAUUAAUACCGCAUACGACCUACGGGUGAAAGCGGGGGAUCGCAAGACCUCGCGCUAUUGGAGCGGCCGAUGUCGGAUUAGGUAGUUGGUGAGGUAAAGGCUCACCAAGCCUUUGAUCUGUAGCUGGUCUGAGAGGACGACCAGCCACACUGGGACUGAGACACGGCCCAGACUCCUACGGGAGGCAGCAGUGGGGAAUUUUGGACAAUGGGCGCAAGCCUGAUCCAGCCAUGCCGCGUGCGGGAAGAAGGCCUUCGGGUUGUAAACCGCUUUUGUCAGGGAAGAAACGCUCUGGGUUAAUACCCUGGAGUAAUGACGGUACCUGAAGAAUAAGCACCGGCUAACUACGUGCCAGCAGCCGCGGUAAUACGUAGGGUGCAAGCGUUAAUCGGAAUUACUGGGCGUAAAGCGUGCGCAGGCGGUUAUGCAAGACAGAUGUGAAAUCCCCGGGCUCAACCUGGGAACUGCAUUUGUGACUGCAUAGCUAGAGUGCGGCAGAGGGGGAUGGAAUUCCGCGUGUAGCAGUGAAAUGCGUAGAUAUGCGGAGGAACACCGAUGGCGAAGGC